CAAACCACUGUGCUCUUCCAAGUUGAGUCACUCACCUCCGUCCUCUCUUCCCCAACCCCGGCUUCCACCCCGCCGCCGCCGCCCGCGGAUCCACCCGAGCGGUCAGAUCCGCCCUCACUCCCUCCCUCCCUCCCUCCCUCCCUCCUCGCGCUGGAAACCCUAGACCGCCCGGCCAUGGCGACCCAGGCUUCACUUCCACGAGAGAUCUGCUGCUCCCUCCUCCUCCUCCUCCUCCUCCAACGGUGGUCUUCUUCUUCUUCUUCCCUCUCUCUGACCCCUGUCGCGUCUGUCUGUGUAGGUAGCUUGAGGGCAGCGGCCAGUGACCGGGGCACCCAAAGAAAGGAAACCUUCUCCGCCGCUACAGAGGAGGAGAGGCUCGAAGGAUUCGUGAGGUGACAACCGUUUGCCCAGCCCACAAGUUGUGCUGUUUCCAAAAAUCCCCACCCCACCCAAAACGGAAGCACGAGUAAACAAGGAGGCUUGUGGCCUUGUGGGUCGCCUCUCCUUCAUCGGCGACGCCGCCGACCACUCGUACCCGACCUACACCAAGAUGAUUACGGAUGCGCUCACCGAGCCGGGAGGCACCUCCGGCUGGGCCGCCAUCGCCGGAGGAGGUGUUUCGUCGGGGAUCAAGAGAAAGAAGAAGCUUGGGAGGCCAUUCAAGAAGAGGCCGCCGAGAAACCCGCUUGGGGGGCUGAGGAAGGUCAAACAGACAGAUUCUGAAGCAACUCCAGCCACGCCGUCACCGUCAACUCCAGCCGCGCCGUCACCGUCAACAACCGGUAUCAAGAUACCGUGUGGGAGGCCGAGAAAGGACCAGCAACCAUCACAAGCAGCAAGCUCUCCUGAUCCGACUCCAGCACGGAGGAUCGAGACAGCGGAAACUCAAACUGGGCAUAGGAGCCCAAUGCUAACAGAGAAUCCACCACCAGCAACAAUGUCUGGUGAUGAUGCGUCGAUGAGAACCAAGAGACUGCUCGCGAGGCAAGCAAGGGAGGCACCGCCAGCGGCAACGCCCGCUCCUAAAACUGGAAUCAAGAGAGGGCGCGGGAGGCCAAGAAAGGACAAGCCAGCAGCACCAAUGUCUGCUCAAGCUGGAGGUGCCACGUCAACGGGAAUCAAGAGCAGGGGCGGGAGGCCAAGAAAAAAAAAGUCAGCAGCAGCAAUGUCUGCUGAAGCUGGAGGUGAUGCGUCAACGGGAAUCAAGAGCAGGCGCGGGAGGCCAAGAAAAGACAAGUCAGCAGCAGCAAUGUCUGCUGAAGCUGGAGGUGAUGCGUCAACGGGAAUCAAGAGAAGGCGUGGGAGGCCAAGAAAAAAUGAGUCAGCAGCAACUUAUCCAUAUCAGGAAUCUUCAAGUGGUGACCAUAGAUGGACUGAACAUGUUGAGCGACAGAGUGGUGUGGGUUCGCAACCAUUACCGGGAGAGACCGACCAACAUUUAGGAGAUGCUGAAAUGGAAGGUAACACCGGAAAUGGGGACAAUACUCAGGCAGAUCCACCUUACUUAGAACCGCGGACUGUGGCUCUUGUGCCCAGCCAGGCUUGCUUGCAAAUGUCUAAGGAAGUUGAAGCUGAGGCCAAUCCUGUAAUUCAGUCAGCCCAACCAGCUGUAGCACCAGCACAACUUCUGCAAAGAGAGGCAGAGCAAGUAGACUGUUCUGAUAGAACACCAGCUCAGACUUCAAGUGGUGACCAUGGAAGGAAUGAAGAUGUUGAGCAACAUAGUGGUGUGGGUUCAGCAGAACCAUUACCGGGAGAGAUUGAACAACAUUUAGGGGAUGCUGAAAUGGAAGUUAACACCGGCAACGGGGACAAUACUCAGGCAGACCCACCUUAUUUAGAACCACAGACUGUGGCUCCUGUGCCCAGCGAGGCGUCCUUGCAAAUUUCUAAGGAAGUUGAAGCUGAGGCCAAUCUUGUAAUGCAGUCAGCCCAACCAAUUGUAGCACCAGCACGGCCUCUGGAAAGAAGGGCAGAACAAGUAGACCGUUCUGGUAUAACAUCACCUCAGACUUUGCAACCUGAAAUGCAACCGCCAGCAUGCAGGGAAGCUUGUACUCAGACAUAUCUGAUAAUUCAGUCUUCACAACCAAGUACGGUACCAAAUGGGCUUUCACAAAGGGAUGCAGAACAAGCAAGCCUUUCUCGUGUACCAUCAUCUCAGUGUUUGUCAUCUGCAAUGCAUUCAUCGGUUCCACCGUCCAGUAUUCUGCUUGAAAGAGCACACCCUGAUCAGUGUCAACCACCAAGCCAUCAACCUGAGGCUGCACCGGGUUCUUCACCACAACUAUUUCCGGUGGCGCCAAUCAUGUUUAAUCAUCCACCAGUUGGUGAUGAUCCAUCGAAAAAUGAGUUGCACAGAUUACGGUUACACAUUCACUCAACCCACCAACUAAAGAAAUCACAACUUAGGACCGAGUGUAGCCAAGAAAUGGAGAAGCUCAAACAAAAGUAUGAUUUGUUACUUCGAGAACAAGAGUCCACUCAUCUUCAGCAAACCAAGACACUUGGUAAUCUAUGUGGGAAAGUUCUCCUCAACCAAUCACUAGCUGAAGAUCUUCGGGCUAAAUUCGUAUCUUCUGGAGAACAAGUUAGAGCCCCUGGCCCUCCAAAUCACCACACACCCCACUGGAUUGCUUCUCAGCAAGUUCCCAUGAGGCCUUCAGCGGUGGCAUCACCAACUACGUCGUCAUCAGCUGGUCGACCACCAGUGCUGAUACAUCACAUCCAACCGUUACAGGUCGAUGGACCAUCACCAUCAUCAUCGCCAUCUUCACAAGUGGUCAGACCACAUCCCUCCAUACUAAGCAACAUUGUCAGAUCAACAUCUACUAGUUUUAGCCUCGUGUCAGUUCUGCCACAGGGAAGCUUUGGAGUCCAGAGUGAACUAGCACAUGCACAUGCUCCUCGUCUUCAGCACAGGUUGCUUGCACAGGCGCAUUCGAUGGCAUCUGCAAAUCAGCAGCAGCUUCCAACUGGGUUGGAGAGCAUGUUUGCAAGGACAUGGUCUACCCCUGUGACUCCAAUAAAUAUAAGACAAUCAUGCCCACAUGCAGUUCCCCCAGGGAACCCAUCACUAUCAAGCUUGCAUCCAAGUUCACACUCCACUAUACCCUUGGGGCCAUCAAGUUCACAUCAAAUUCAUCAGGUUCCACCACUGCCAUCAAGUUCACAGGCCACUGUACUCGCACCCGUGGGCCCAUCAAGUUCACAUCAAAUUCAGCAGGUUCCACCACUGCCAUCAAGUUCACAGGCCACUGUACUCGCACCUGUGGGCCCAUCAAGUUCAUAUCAAAUUCAGCAGGUUCCACCACUGCCAUCAAGUUCACAGCCAACACGCCUGCCAUUGCCAUUGCCAGUGCCUUCGAAUCCAAAUCCAGUUCUUCCACUAACAUUACCACGAGGUUUGACUACGACAUCUAGUGUUUCCUCAGCUGCGUCCAGUGUGUUGCCAAGUAAAGGUGUUGGGCCUUGCGCACCAGACUCGCCGCAGUCAGAUUCUGAUGCAGAAUCACUGGAUCAAUUUCUAACCAGUAUUGGGGUGCCCAGUGAUCCCCGUGGCGUGGCGGCUCCUGAAGUGAUAUGCCUAUCUGAUGAUGAAGAGACCGAUGACCAAACCAAGCAAGAAACGCCGCUCGUCGCUGAAGUGCCCCAACAGAAGGUUCCUUGCAAGUUUUUGGUCAAAGGUGAUGCUUGUAAACAAGAAAUAUUGAUGCCCAGAUCGAUUUUAUAAUCACAAAUUUGUGAUGCAACUCCUUGUUUCUACUAGAGAACUUUGAGUAACAUGUACUAACUGGGAUUGCUGCUACUUAAUGCUUAACGCAACGCCUAAUUGUAUGUGACAUGUCACUUAACGCUUACGUGGAUAGUACAGGUAGGCACGUCCAGCAAGCACCCAGCCUACUUGGUCGCUACACCUGCUUGUUUUUCUUUUUACUUUUUUCGAUCGACCUUUUUGAUCAACCUUUUUUUUUUAUGGAUUGCUGCUACUUC
rnacentral:rRNA from 1 species